rnacentral:lncRNA from 7 species
AAUAUGCUGAUCGCUGACAUCUGUCGCUCUUCCUUUCAUCUCUCCUUUCUUUCAAAAGAAGAAAAAAAGCAACCCUUCUGUCCUUCCCUUCUCCCACCUCCCGCCGAGAGGUGCGGCGCUGGGACUGACACGGAGCGGGGCCGGGGGGCAGCGCUCCGCUGCGGUGGGAAACAUAGAAACACCGCGCGGAGACGAUGAUGAUUACUACUAUUUCCGAAGUGCUGUCCGCGGCCGCAAUCCUCCCUGCCGAGCGCCCGGCGCUUUUCACGGAGGAUUUGGCCCCGCCGGCCUCCUGCCCUGCCCAAUCUCUCUGCACACUGUGCUCAGGGGCUGCCGGUGGAGGGAAGUAUGGCCAUGGCGAAAUGGGACUUUUCUUUCUCUCUUCCCUGCCUCCCUCCAGCAAGAUUGAAACGCCGUGAAGAGAAAUGAAAACCUGCAGAACGCUUUCCCAAAUAAUUUAGGUGAAAAUUUGAGUACAGAAAUAUGCAUAUAUAUACCCCCGUAAGAAAAAAAAAGAUGGAUUGAAUUUAGGGGUUUUCCGUCUAU